rnacentral:rRNA from 1 species
CAAGAAUAUUAGUCAAUGCUCGCAAGAGUGAACUAGCUAACUGAAAUCAUAUUAGUGUCUAAUGUGAUGUCGUAAGGGAAAAUAAUGAUAGAACCUUACUAAUAGUGUCGUCCAAAACUGGUGCCAGAAGACUCGGUAAGGCCAGAGACGCGAACGUUAAUCGUCUUAAUCAGGCGUAAAGGGUUUGUAGGCUGCUUUGAAAGUAUUCAAUUAAUAUAGCCAAAAAAGUAAUUGAAUAUCAAUUAAAGCUAGAAUCUAAUAGAGGAUAUUAAGUAAAUUAUACUUAGUCGAGGGGUUAAAUCCGUUAACACUAAGUAGACUACUAAAGGCGUAAGCAUUUAUCCAAUAAAGAUUGACGCUGAGAAACGAAGGUGAGGAGAGGAAGUAGGAUUAGAUACCCAGGUACCCCUCACUGUCAACGAUGAAUGGUAGUUAGUUAGUCUUACCAGACUAGUGACGAUGUUAACACGUUAACCAUUCCGCCUUGUGAGUACGACUGCAAAGUUGAAAACAAAAAAAUUAGUCGGUCUCGGAGCAAACGAAGUGAAGUAUGUUAUUUAAU